rnacentral:rRNA from 1 species
UAACCGUGGGUACUGCCCGAAGAUGGGAACUCCGGAAACCGGGGCUAUACCGGAUGGUUGUUUGAACCGCAUGAUCAGACAUAAAAGGUGCUUCGGCUACCACUACAGAUGGACCCGCGGCGCAUUAGCUAGUUGGUGAGGUAACGGCUCACCAAGGCGACGAUGCGUAGCCGACCUGAGAGGGUGAUCGGCCACACUGGGACUGAGACACGGCCCAGACUCCUACGGGAGGCAGCAGUAGGGAAUCUUCCGCAAUGGACGAAAGUCUGACGGAGCAACGCCGCGUGAGUGAUGAAGGUUUUCGGAUCGUAAAGCUCUGUUGUUAGGGAAGAACAAGUGCCGUUCAAAUAGGGCGGCACCUUGACGGUACCUAACCAGAAAGCCACGGCUAACUACGUGCCAGCAGCCGCGGUAAUACGUAGGUGGCAAGCGUUGUCCGGAAUUAUUGGGCGUAAAGGGCUCGCAGGCGGUUUCUUAAGUCUGAUGUGAAAGCCCCCGGCUCAACCGGGGAGGGUCAUUGGAAACUGGGGAACUUGAGUGCAGAAGAGGAGAGUGGAAUUCCACGUGUAGCGGUGAAAUGCGUAGAGAUGUGGAGGAACACCAGUGGCGAAGGCGACUCUCUGGUCUGUAACUGACGCUGAGGAGCGAAAGCGUGGGGAGCGAACAGGAUUAGAUACCCUGGUAGUCCACGCCGUAAACGAUGAGUGCUAAGUGUUAGGGGGUUUCCGCCCCUUAGUGCUGCAGCUAACGCAUUAAGCACUCCGCCUGGGGAGUACGGUCGCAAGACUGAAACUCAAAGGAAUUGACGGGGGCCCGCACAAGCGGUGGAGCAUGGGUUUAAUUCGAAGCAACGCGAAGAACCUUACCAGGUCUUGACAUCCUCUGACAAUCCUAGAGAUAGGACGUCCCCUUCGGGGGCAGAGUGACAGGUGGUGCAUGGUUGUCGUCAGCUCGUGUCGGAGAUUUGGGUUAAGUCCCGCAACGAGCGCAACCCUUGAUCUUAGUGCCAGCAUUCAGUUGGGCACUCUAAGGGUGACUGCCGUGACAAACCGGAGCAAGGUGUGGAUGACGUCAAAUCAUCAUGCCCCCUUAUGACCUGGCUA